rnacentral:rRNA from 1 species
CAGUCGCGUCUCUCGGGACUCAGCCACGACCUCUCGAGGUCGCGGCGCAUUUCCCGAGUCUGGACGGGCCAGCAUCGGUUUCGAGCGUCGUAAAAAGGCGCGAGGAAUGUGGCACCCUCGGGUGUGUUAUAGCCUCGCGUCGUAUGCGACGGACGGGACCGAGGAACGCAGCGCGCCCCUUCGCGGGGGCCGGGGUUCGCCCACGGUAACGCGCUUAGGACGCUGGCGUAAUGGCUUUAAGCGACCCGUCUUGAAACACGGACCAAGGAGUCUAACAUAUGUGCG